GAUGAACGCUGGCGGCGUGCCUAAUACAUGCAAGUCGAGCGAACGGACGAGAAGCUUGCUUCUCUGAUGUUAGCGGCGGACGGGUGAGUAACACGUGGAUAACCUACCUAUAAGACUGGGAUAACUUCGGGAAACCGGAGCUAAUACCGGAUAAUACUUUAAACCGCAUGGUUCAAAAGUGAAAGACGGUCUUGCUGUCACUUAUAGAUGGAUCCGCGCUGCAUUAGCUAGUUGGUAAGGUAACGGCUUACCAAGGCAACGAUGCAUAGCCGACCUGAGAGGGGGAUCGGCCACACGGGAACUGAGACACGGUCCAGACUCCUACGGAGGCAGCAGUAGGGAAUCUUCCGCAAUGGGCGAAAGCCUGACGGAGCAACGCCGCGUGAGUGAUGAAGGUCUUCGGAUCGUAAAACUCUGUUAUUAGGGAAGAACAUAUGUGUAAGUAACUGUGCACAUCUUGACGGUACCUAAUCAGAAAGCCACGGCUAACUACGUG
rnacentral:rRNA from 1 species